CUAUUAUUAGCAAUAAGAACACAGCACAAAACAAAAAACAUAGUCUUACAAACUAAAGUAGCGUAAGAAAUUUGUUAAUCAACAUUAAAUGUAUUUCCUUGCAGUGGGCUAGCAUACUGGUAGAUGAUUAUCUGCUAGUAAUGCAAUGCUACAACUAUUGUGGGAAUGAUCACAUGAUAAAGGAUUGUUAUGAGGAACUAGCAUGCAGCCACUGCAGAGCCCACCAUAAAUAUACAUACUGCUUACACAAACAGGAGAAGGAGAAUGCAUCAAUUGUAUCAAAACUACCAGAAGGGGACAAACUAAAUGUUAAACAUAAUGCAUUAUCUUCAAAGUGCACAGUAAUAAAGAGGAUGAAAUCACUAUCUGCACAACACAUCAGUUAUGAAUAAUACACCUUCACAAAACACAAGCAUAUGCAUGCACAUGUGCGUGCGUGCGCACACACACUACACACACACUACACACACACUACACACACACUACACACACACACACUCUCUCUCUCUCUCUCUCACUCCUCACUUACUCACAUUGAUUUACUUAAAAUACUACAAAUAAAUGAUCAAGAGAGUCAGUCAGCCAAUUCCCUCAUCAUUAAAACUGUACAAGAUUACAAUGUAGAUAUUUUCAUCCAAGAACCGUACACAGUAAAAAACAAAUUAGUUAAUUUGGUGACUGGAUAGUUUUUCCUAAUUUUAACUCUAUAUAUUCAAUCAAAGCAGGUGUGCUAAUAUCCAAUGAAAACAUUGAGGCCAAUCUUAUCACACAAUUCUGCACUCCACAUUUCACUACAGUUUCUAUUAAUGACAGAUCUUUUAUGCACAUAUCAUCACCUAUAUCCCAGGUACCAAAGACAUAAACAUUGACAGUUUCCUGCUCUUCUCUCUAGCAAACUUGUCCUCAUUUUUGGUGACUUUAAUGCUAAAUCCCACAUCUGGUACAGUCCCACAGAAGAUUCCAGGUGUCGGAUAUAGUGGACUUUAUUGCACAACAUAAUCUACAUUUACUAAAUACCAAUACACUACUCACAUACCCAUGUACUACAGAUGAGAGUUGGAUAGCUGUAUCAUUUGCAAACAGCAUAUUAAUUAACAGAAUACAAAGCUGUAGUAUAACAGCACUAACAUUACUCAGUGUGUGAUAUAUCUUCACUUGUAUAGAAAAUUGUUCUGACAUGAUUAUAUAAUCUAUGUACUCAUAUACUAAUACAGACUGAAAUACAUUUGAAAACAUUCAGGUCUUUGUGGAAGGUUACAAAUUAAAUGAAAUACAUAAACAGAACACAGUUGAUCUUUUUUCAGAGAACCUGUAUGCAUAUUACAUGCUUACCAUAUCUCUUUCUUAAACAAUAUAAGCACAAAACUAUUCUUUGGUGGACUUCUGAUCUCACAAAGAGAGGAUGCGAGGACCAGAAAAACGGAUUGGAUGAAAUGUAUUUCCAUAAUGACUCUUGAUUGGUGGUAGGGCACAGUGGG
rnacentral:lncRNA from 1 species